rnacentral:rRNA from 1 species
GAAACCAACAGGGAUUGCCCUAGUAACGGCGAGUGAAGCGGCAACAGCUCAAAUUUGAAAUCUGGCGUCUUUGGCGUCCGAGUUGUAAUUUGCAGAGGGCGCUUUGGCAUCGGCAGCGGUCCAAGUUCCUUGGAACAGGACGUCACAGAGGGUGAGAAUCCCGUACGUGGUCGCUAGCCUUUACCGUGUAAAGCCCCUUCGACGAGUCGAGUUGUUUGGGAAUGCAGCUCUAAAUGGGAGGUAAAUUUCUUCUAAAGCUAAAUACUGGCCAGAGACCGAUAGCGCACAAGUAGAGUGAUCGAAAGAUGAAAAGCACUUUGGAAAGAGAGUUAAAAAGCACGUGAAAUUGUUGAAAGGGAAGCGCUUGCAGCCAGACUUGCCUGUAGUUGCUCAUCCGGGUUUUUACCCGGUGCACUCUUCUGCGGGCAGGCCAGCAUCAGUUUGGGCGGUUGGAUAAAGGUCUCUGUCAUGUACCUCUCUUCGGGGAGAACUUAUAGGGGAGACGACAUGCAACCAGCCUGGACUGAGGUCCGCGCAUCUGCUAGGAUGCUGGCGUAAUGGCUGUAAGCGGCCCGUCUUGAAACACGGACCAAGGAGUCUAACAUCUAUGCGAGUGUUUGGGUGUCAAGCCCGAACGCGUAAUGAAAGUGAACGGAGGUGGGAACCCCUCGGGGUGCACCAUCGACCGAUCCUGAUGUCUUCGGAUGGAUUUGAGUAAGAGCAUAGCUGUUGGGACCCGAAAGAUGGUGAACUAUGCUUGAAUAGGGUGAAGCCAGAGGAAACUCUGGUGGAGGCUCGCAGCGGUUCUGACGUGCAAAUCGAUCGUCAAAUUUGGGCAUAGGGGCGAAAGACUAAUCGAACUAUCUAGUAGCUGGUUCCUGCCGAGCUCC